rnacentral:rRNA from 1 species
GGGCCCGCACAAGCGGUGGAGCAUGUGGUUUAAUUCGAUGCAACGCGAAGAACCUUACCAGGGCUUGACAUCCUGCGAACCUCUGGGAAACCGGAGAGUGCCUUCGGGAACGCAGUGACAGGUGGUGCAUGGCUGUCGUCAGCUCGUGUCGUGAGAUGUUGGGUUAAGUCCCGCAACGAGCGCAACCCACGUCUUUAGUUGCCAGCAUUUAGUUGGGCACUCUAAUGGGACUGCCGGUGAUAAGCCGGAGGAAGGUGGGGAUGACGUCAAGUCCUCAUGGCCCUUAUGGGCUGGGCUACACACGUGCUACAAUGGCGGCGACAGAGGGUUGCGAGCUCGCGAGGGCAAGCUAAUCCCCAAAAGCCGUCUCAGUUCGGAUUGUUCUCUGCAACUCGAGAGCAUGAAGGUGGAAUCGCUAGUAAUCGCAGAU